GAUAAUAGAAUAACUUUAUGGGCAGAUUCAGAGUCGUCGAGAUGGGAGCUAGGGAAUGAUUUGACAACACUGUUUUGGGUUGUUUCAUGGUGUGGCAAUUGUCAUAUUGUUGAUGGAUUCCCAAGGCUUUAUUGAUUCGCAAAUUUGAAUAAGGAAGUGUGUGAAUAUUUAAAAGAAAUGGGGGUUUUUGUGAAGUAAAGUGGGGAAUUGUUUAUAAGAAAACUACUUGAUAUGAUGAAGUUUUAUAUGCAGGAGAUUUUUGGUGGAUAUGACCGAUCUGGAGUUGUAUUGAUUCUAUUAAAUUCCAAUCAGAUGCUUCAUUUGGUUGGCUUUCUCCAAAUGGGUUCUUUGUGUGUGGGAUUGCAAACGAGAAUUGAGUUUGGUUGUGGAGGAGUCUUGAGUGAUAGAAGGGUGUCGUAAGAGCUUUAUUUUCCAGUUUUGCAGCAUCAAAUGUUUCCAAUAUGGUUGAGAGUGGCGCAGUGAAGGUUUUAAUUAUGAGUUAAUGUUUAAAUAUUGGUGUUUGAUUGAAGCUAAAAUUGUUUGUGGUUGCUGCACACUUUCUUCAAGUAAUUUGAAAUCAGGAUGUACAGAAUUGGUAAUGUCUCUUUUUCGAAAAUGGAUAAGCACGGUAACAUGACGACUUUUGCACUGGCGGUUACAGGUUUGAAAAGGCAUGGUAUGUUUAAGGAAUGGUAGUGAUUUUUGGAGUGUUGUAGUUGUGUUUCUUCAAGCGAGUUGGUAAGCUGUUAUGUAGAGUUAUG
rnacentral:lncRNA from 1 species